CUGUUUGACAACACGGUUCUACACUAAAAGUACAUUUUUACAGAAUCAGUAUUAGCGAUGUUGAGUUGCAAUUUCUGUGGCAAGUCAGUCAAAUCAUUGAGGGCUUAUGUAAUACAUUGCAAACUUCACCGAAAUGAACCGCGUUUAUUUAAGUGCUUUGCAGCCGAAUGCAAACAGACUUUCUGUACAUAUGCAUCGCUUAAGGCUCAUUUUUACAGAAAACAUAACGUAAAUGCGCCUGUUAACGUUGCUGUCGGGACAGAUGUUAUGCCUAUUAAAUGUGCAAUGGCGUUAUGUGAUCGACAGUGUGAAGAUGCUAAAUCUCUAAUAGCACACUUGAAAGACCACAUUGUAGAAGGACGUGUUGUGAGUUGUCCAGUAAGAGGAUGCACAGAUGCUUUUAAAGUUAAAUCUUCCUUUACCUCCCACAUGUCACGGAAACACAAACAUUUCACAGAAAGCACAAUUAGUGACUUGUACAGAGACUCGUCGGCUUAUCAGUCAUCUUCACAAUCUGUAACAACCGAAUUAACGUCACAUGACUGUGGCCAUGAAUUUGAAUGUGAUGUAGAUACAUCCGACGAUUUCAACGAUCUUUUUCUUAAAAAUAUUUGUUUAUUUUACUUAAAACUGCAAGGGCAGCUCUUAGUGCCUGAUUCAACCACACAGAACAUUGUUGAGGAGAUUCAAAAUAUACACGAGUUGGGUCAGACAUAUACUUUAAGUAAACUUGCUUCACAGCUAAAGAAUGAAACAUCCUUAACAGAAGAUGAGAUCACCAAAAUUUGUCAGUCUGUCAAGGAAUCUGAUCUGUUUUCUGCAUGUCAUACAGGGCCAAUGAGGACUGCACACACAAGAGCUCAGUGUUUCAAAAAAAAUUUCAAUUAUGUGGAGCCUAAGACUGUUUUGUUAGGAAGGGAUGAGAACAGAAAAGAUAGGUUUGCCUAUUAUGUGCCAGUCAAAGAGACUUUAAAAUGCUUAUUGCAGUCUGAUAUGUGGCAGGAUUGUAUGUCUGAGGAGCACCCCACUGACACACCCACAGAUGUUUUAACUGAUGUUACUGAUGGCCAGAUGUUCAAAUCAAAUGAAUUUUUUGUUCAGAAUCCAUCAGGCCUAAAACUAGUACUGUAUCAGGAUGCAUUUGAAGUUGUUAAUCCUUUAGGCUCUGCAAAGACAAGACAUAAAAUAUUAGCUGUUUAUUUAUCUGUAGCUAAUUUGCCACUUCAUGUAAGGUCAGACACAAACCACAUGUCACUUGUUUUAUUGUGCAGAGAAAAAGAUUUUAAAGAAUUUGGGCAUGCUAAGGUGUUCUCUAAUUUACUAGCAGACUUAAAGUAUUUGGAGGAGAAUGGAAUUCCUGUUUCAGAUGAAACCGUAGUAAAAGGAACGGUCUAUUGCAUUGCCGGCGAUAAUUUAGGAUCCCACUGCAUUGGUGGGUUCUCUGAAAAUUUCAGCCGUGCAGAACAUUUCUGUAGAUAUUGUCUAAUUACUCGAUCUGAAUUUCAGGGUGAUCCAAAUCUGUGUGGACCAGCCCGGACAAUUCAAAACUAUAACUCAGCAAUUGACCGCAUCCAAGCAGAAGGAGCACAAGACGUGGAAGGAGUAAAAUUCAGAAUGGAUGACGUAGAGCCAAGCAACAUAAGCAGUGCCAUUACUAAUGUGUUACCAGACCUACCAACCUCAAAUCUAAAUAUUGUAUUGGAGACAUUACAAUCUUUAGGUGUGGGAGCCACUGAAGAUUUACAGUAUAUUAAGGAAGCUGAUCUGCUCACAGUACUGAGACCAGUUCAAGCUAGAAAACUGUUGGCUGCAUGGAAACAAUCCACAGAGACAACUGAAUUCCAUAGUCAGUCAACAUUGACCUCUCCAGUGUCCUCAGCGUGCUCCUCAGUCUCACUGUCUUCCUCACCCUCACCCUCACCAUCACCCAGACACAUGAUUGCUACUGCAGAUUGGGUCGACAGCUUCCAGAUUCCAUGGGAGAAGCUCCCAGAAGCCUUAAUGCAGAGUUUGGAGAGAGGGAAAAGGCCAAGCUCAAAGUUACGCAGAGAAAUGAUCCGAAUUGUAGUUGCUGAAAUGAUGCAUGCCUCUUCUUCUCCUGGUAAACAAUCCUCCACAGAGGUUGCGAAGAAAAUGGUAGCAAAGUAUCCACUGUCACUGCAAGAUGUUAUAGAAGGUGAUGUGGUAGGAACAGGAUAUCACUCACUCGUCAAGCAGCUGCAAGCACGAAUUGAAAAUGUAAAGCGGUCUUCAGUACCAAGAAUAUUAAAGCGCAGACGGGGGUCAGAUGAAUUUGACACAGAUGAAAUCACAGCUGAACAGAGGGCAGCUGUUCAGGACACAUAUGGCUGCAUAAAGUGGGAAAUGAAGUUUAUGCCAGUGAGUGAGACACUGGAAAGCCAAGAAGAGAAAAAAGAGAAAAUGAAAGUGAUAUUUGAACAGGCAACCUUCAACACAGAGGAGGUAAAACAUCUCAUGAAGUGCACAUACUUCUCCCAGCGUAAAUCAGUGAACAGUGGAACCGAUCUGCAAUUCCUCAUGCAAGAGUGGCCUUUCUUAUUCAAGGAAGUUGGCAUGGCAGUUCACUUUCAUGAAUUAACUGGUGUUUCCCUGAAAGAGACUUUCCUCAGUAAUGUUGAAAAAAAAGGAAAACGUGUUUUAGAUUUCAUGAGAAGUGUUUGUGCAGAAAAAAGCAAACAUGUUUUGCAAGCGGCCACAAAGCUGAAAAUUCUGAGAGGACAGCUGGAGGGCUGCUCAGAAGAUGUAAAAGAUCUGGUGCUCCUCAUCCUCUCCUACUUUAAUGAAAAAGAGGAGGACUUGUUCUUCUAUGUGGAAGAAACUUGUAUGGCAAAAGAAGUACAAGUGGAAGGCUUACCUGUGACUCCAUGCAUCAUUGUAUGCGGAACAUCAUGUUAUGCUGCAAAGCAUUUCAUGCUGAGUGUUGACCAGAAAAUUGUCAACGAAUACAUCUCCACCUUCAUCUCGGCUGUUUGCAUGAUGUUUGCAACCUACUACUGCCUCAACAUUCACUAUCCUGUGGGUCUGGGCUCCACACUUGAGUUUAUUCAGAGGUGUUUCUUCAACAUCAAUCCUGAGAAGGGCACAAAAGUGGAAACUAAGAAAAACAAGAAACAGCUAACAGUGAAUCCAAGAGUCCUCACACUCAUUGCAGAUCUCUCAGAUCAUGAGUGGAGAGAGGCAUGUUAAAUAUGGACUUUCAGUUCACAUCAUUUGAAGUGUUAACACAACACGUAUACACCACUAAUUGAGUUUUCAGUUUACCUUAUCUGUUAACCACCAACAAAGAAAGUACGCUUUUAGUAUUUGGGUUAAUGAUAAUGUUUUAUUGAGCAUUGUUUUUGUUUAAUUGGUAAACUGGCUUAUUCCAGAUUUUGUUAAAAGUACAAUGUAACAGACAUUUUUGUUAAAGGCUGCAUUUGUUCCAUUUUUUUUCUAGUUUUCAUUGAGGGAAAGAGCAAAUUUAUAUACUAAAUUUAUUUUUCUAAAGAUGUUACAAAACAAAUUCAUUAUACUCCCUGCACAUAGUGUUAUAUGCUUAUGAUUUUGGCAUUUAUAAUUAUUAUUAAUUUAUUUUUUUUGUUUCAAAAUAUUCUGGUACUAGCAAGGAGUUCAGAGUGUUUGGCUGAUUACAUGCGGAGUUUAAUAAACCUUUUGGAAAAUGCUUUCCAGACACCUUUUUUUCAGUGAUUAUUGUGACACUUCAGAUUAAGUUAAUGACUGGUGGGAUUGCUAAAAUCUAAGAAUCUACGUAAAAGUAAGUAAACUAAACACUUGAGAAUAUUUAUGUAAUUAUUUUUACACAAAACAGCAUGUGUAAACACAUUCUAUAAGCUAAAUAUUGCAUAUUGUGUAAAAUUAAAGCUUUUAUCUUCUAACACAUUUCAGGCACUGCAUUCAACCUUCACUAGAUGAUGACUUCAAGGAAACACAUUUCUGGACAAAAAGUGUUAAUUAAUACUUUUUUUUUAAUAAUGUUUAUUUUUUUAAAAAUUUCACUUUUAAUGAGACAUUUUUGUUGUAUCCACUUUAUUGAACAGCAACACUAAAGUUCAUCAGGAAACAAUGGAAAGAGAUCAGGAUUGCAACUUUGGUUGCUGCAAUAACGGUAUGUGUUGUGUUGAACUUGUUGAGCGGCUUGUGAAGCACAGCUGUUGUUUUUCCCUAAAUGUAGCCAUUUAUUUAGUACAUGUAGUGUGCAUACUGCUUUUAAAAGAGUGAAAGAUAUGCUUGAAACAUUUUUGUCUUAUUUAGGACAAUAUAUUUUCUUAUGUCUGCCAGAGUUUGAACACAAGGACUCUCUUUUCCUGACAAGUCUCUAUUUGGAUAAGAGACCUUUCAAGUAUAAAUUUGGGUAAGUUUUGUUGAUUAUUAAACAUCAAUUUAAAAGUACUAAUUACCUAUUUAACUCUUGCUUUACCUUACACAGAUGAGCAAUUCGGUGCUUCCAACUUUGCAGAAACGGGGUGUGGCCAGGCUCUAAGCUUCAGUGAGUACAUAUAAAUUAUAAGCUUUUAAAUUAACUGCCAUGCAUCAAUUUGUCAGAUCAUACAUGCUACUGUUUGGUCAGUUGCUCAACUAACCUUACUCUGUUGGUAUCACAAAAUUGUAGAACUAAAAUUACCUUUCAUUAAAAGAGUAUUUUAUUACAACCCAAACGUGUUUCCAAUCUUUCCUUGUAUAGCAGUGGAUUGUCCUAAUUUACAAUCUCAAAACAGAUUUUUAUGCUUGAUCUCAACUGAAGUGUAAUUUUAUUUUAGUUUAUAUUUAACUUAAUUUUAUGCUAGCUUUUAAAAAAUAAUAAAAAAUUAUAUUGCUAAAGUUGUCUUGCACAUUUACAGAACAAUAUUACCACACAUUCAUCACAUUGUCAUCUUAGUAAAGUUUGUGUUUAAAAAAAAAAAAAAGAGUAAAGAAAAUCUCAGCUAAAUUGUAUUAUAUUUAUGUACAUUGUUUACAUUAUUAUUAUUAUUCUUUUGAGUUGGAAAUAACACAAACUGCUCAAUAUUUCGAAACUGCAGCAAUAUUUACUGUAGCUAUUGUGUAAAUGCUAAAAUUAGUUAUAUUUAUUUAAUAACUAUUAAUGUUAGAAUUGUUCCUUUUUUGUUUCUUUUCCCCUGUUCACAGAGAGGACCUUCUAAAAGUUCCGGUUUUCUGAACAUUGUAUCCUGUGUGUAAGAGACCUCUCUUCAGUCAAGUCUGGACCCAGUCAGAUGCCAGUCUUAAGGAUAAUUGAUGAGAGAUCAUGCCAGUCCAUAUUGAAAUAGUGACUACAUGCAAGACUUCAAGCAGUACUACAUUUCAAGUUUGGAACAUACACAGUCCUGUGUCUUCCGUCAAGUGUGGGCUCAAUACUAUUGUUCAACCAGAGCAAGCAGCCCUGAUGGAUGUACAGUAUAUGUCUUCAUUGAUUAUCCUUACUUUUAUAUAUGGACACAUUUUAUUUCCAACAUCAACACGCCUUUGUGAGUACACUGGUCAAGUUAUUGGAUCAGCUCAAACUGUUUUAACACAGUCCCUGUAUGUAGUUUCAUUAAAAUCUAAUAAUUAUAGUUUGUGCCUUCAGUUGCUAUAGACUGUAUUUACUAGUUCAUUUUGCAAUUCAAAAACCUGAUUGAUUGUUGUAAAAUCUGUGGCAAACAACUGUAAUGUCUUUUGUGUUUUACCGUGUUUUUUACGGUAAAGUUCUGGCAACCACAGCUGCCGGUAAUUUUCUGUAAAACUGAACUUUACAAUAAAAUACUAUUAUAUUUAAUACAGUUGUUUUAUGUUUAUUACGGAAAUAGAAUGUAGUUAGUUUUACAGUAUAUUUAUUAUACACAGUAGUUUACUGUAAAGGAAUUUACACUUACGACUGCUAUUUUUAAAGUAAUUUACUGUAAACAUGUUUACAAUACAUUUGUUUUAUUUAACAGAAAUUUACUGUAAACAUACAGCAGUUUUCAACUGUAAAAUUUACAGAUCAUCAAAAAGUAUUCUGUAAAGCAUUGCACGUUGCAACCUUAUAUUUUACGGUGAACUUCUGGCAACCACAGCUGCCGGUAUUUUACCGUAUAUUUCACCCGUUA